CUUAAACAAACCACAAACGGAUGUGAGGGAAGGAAGGUGUUUCUUUUACUCCUGAGCCCAGACACCUCUUUCUUUUCCGUCUAAGCUUGUUUUGCUGAGCACUUUUUUUAAAAAAGAAAAAAAAAAAAAGGAAAAGAAAAGGAGUUGCUUGAUGUGAGAGUGAAAUGGACGUAAGAUUUUAUCCACCUCCAGCCCAGCCCGCCGCUGCGCCCGACGCUCCCUGUCUGGGACCUUCUCCCUGCCUGGACCCCUACUAUUGCAACAAGGUGAACGCUCUGCUUUUGUUUCCACUGUGU
rnacentral:lncRNA from 1 species